CUGCAUAAUUCCUUUACUUAAUUAACCUCCGCCCGAGCUGCUAAACAAACCCGGGACCUCAAGAACCGACUGUUUAAAACGACUCAAACAUUCAAACUAUUUUAUUUAGUCCUUAACGUAUUCCAGGGUGUCAUUCCAUUAACAACCUGGAAAAUCGUAAAACUCCUCUGUCCCGCAACCUUUAGUGAGCAACCAAGACGGCGUCCAUCAAAUGUUGAGUAAAAGUACAUUUGUUAAACAAA